UCAUCCAUCCGCCCUUAUGCCUUGGGCUUCACGCAUGCUACAAUGGCCGGUACAAAGGGCUGCGAUACCGCGAGGUGGAGCGAAUCCCAGAAAGCCGGUCUCAGUUCGGAUUGGGGUCUGCAACUCGACCCCAUGAAGUCGGAGUCGCUAGUAAGUCGCAGAUCAGCAACGCUGCGGUGAAUACGUUCCCGGGCCUU
rnacentral:rRNA from 1 species